GACGAACGCUGGCGGCGUGCUUAACACAUGCAAGUCGAACGAGUGGCGAACGGGUGAGUAAAACGUGGGUGAUCUGCCUUCUACUUCGGGAUAAGCUUGGGAAACUGGGUCUAUAACCGGACAGUGCCAGCUUGGCUCGCGGCUUAUCAGCUGGGUGGUGGGUUAAUGGCCACCAAGGCGUGACGGGUAGCCGGCCUGAGAGGGUGUACGGCCACAUUGGGACUGAGAUACGGCCCAGACUCCUACGGGAGGCAGCAGUGGGGAAUAUUGCGCAAUGGGCGAAAUCCUGAUCCAGCCAGGCCGCGUGUGUGAAGAAGGUCUUCGGAUGGUAAACUACGUUAAGUUGGGAGGCGUUACCGACAUAAUAAGCACCGGCUAACUCUGUGCCAGCAGCCGCGGUAAUUC
rnacentral:rRNA from 1 species